UUAGCCAAGAAUGGCUUGCCUAUCUCCAUUAUUUUGUUCAUCGAUGCAGGCCUAGGGAUCGUCAUGGAUGAAAUGUGGAUGAUGGCAUCCAUUCUUGGCUAAGU
rfam:Sorghum bicolor cultivar BTx623 chromosome 8, whole genome shotgun sequence.